AUUUGAAUUGGAAGCUGUGAAAAAUUCUCUUUAUUUGGGCACUUUGAGAAUUUAGAGCUAAUUGUGCAACCGACCAGUUAAAAC
rnacentral:ncRNA from 2 species